ACGGGAGGCAGCAGUGAGGAAUAUUGGUCAAUGGACGUAAGUCUGAACCAGCCAAGUAGCGUGAGGGAUGACGGCCAUAUGGUUGUAAACCUCUUUUGCGAGGGAAUAAAGUGCGUCACGUGUGGUGCAUUGCAUGUACCUUGCGAAUAAGGAUCGGCUAACUCCGUGCCAGCAGCCGCGGUAAUACGGAGGAUCCGAGCGUUAUCCGGAUUUAUUGGGUUUAAAGGGAGCGUAGGCGGGAAGUCAAGUCAGCUGUGAAAUGUAGUCGCUCAACGUCUGCACUGCAGUUGAAACUGGUUUUCUUGAGUGCGUAAGAGGCAGGUGGAAUUUGUCGUGUAGCGGUGAAAUGCUUAGAUAUGACGAAGAACUCCGAUUGCGAAGGCAGCCUGCUGGGCCGCAACUGACGCUGAAGCUCGAAGGUGCGGGUAUCGAACAGGAUUAGAUACCCUGGUA
rnacentral:rRNA from 1 species